AUGGAGAUGCUGGUUCUGGCACCUUAUGAGGUGCAGGAGAAGAAGGCCAAGAAGAAGGCCACGGGGACCAGGAAGGGUCUCCGGCGCAAGGUUAUAUCGGACUCAUCGUCCGAAAGCACCGAGGUGCACUCCUCCCACGAAAACGAGGAGGAAGAAGAGGAAAGUUCUCUCCCCCCAGCCGGGGGAGACAAGAAAAGGAAGGCCGCCCCGGCUGGGGCGGCCGAAGGGUCCAAGAAGGGAAGGACCCUCCUUCCGGACAACUACACAACCGCCACCUACAGCGACGACGAGUGGCUGCCCAGGGAUAAGCCCCUGGCGAAGUCGUAG
rnacentral:rRNA from 1 species